rnacentral:rRNA from 1 species
GACGAACGCUGGCGGCGUGCUUAACACAUGCAAGUCGAACGGAAAGGCCUGCUUUCCCUUGUGGUUUGCGGGUACUCGAGUGGCGAACGGGUGAGUAACACGUGAGUGAUCUGCCCCCAACUUGGGUAUAAGCCUGGGAAACUGGGUCUAAUUCCCGAUAGGACUGCAGGGUGGUUCCUGUGGUGGACAACGAAUUUCUAGUGGUUGGGGAUGAGCUCGCGGCCUAUCAGCUUGUUGGUGGGGCAAUGGCCUACCAAGGCGGCGACGGGUAGCCGGCCUGAGAGGGUGGACGGCCACAUUGGGACUGAGUUACGGCCCAGACGCCUACGGGAGGCAGCAGUGGGGAAUAUUGCACAAUGGGCGGGAGCCUGAUGCAGCGACGCCGCGUGGAGGAUGACGGCCUUCGGGUGGUAAACUCCUUGCGACCGCGAGGAAGCCACCUGGUUGGAAGGGUGGUGACGGUAGUGGUAGAAGAAGCACCGGCUAACUACGUG